UACGUAGGGUGCGAGCGUUGUCCGGAAUUACUGGGCGUAAAGAGCUCGUAGGUGGUUUGUCGCGUUGUUCGUGAAAACCGGGGGCUUAACCCUCGGCGUGCGGGCGAUACGGGCAGACUUGAGUACUGCAGGGGAGACUGGAAUUCCUGGUGUAGCGGUGGAAUGCGCAGAUAUCAGGAGGCACACCGGUGGCGAAGGCGGGUCUCUGGGCAGUAACUGACGCUGAGGAGCGAAAGCGUGGGGAGCGAACAGG
rnacentral:rRNA from 1 species